rnacentral:lncRNA from 1 species
CUCAAAUGAGUGUAUUCCAGAGCUGGCUUUUAUACAUAGUUUGCUUACAUUAGCCAUGGUAUAUGCAAAUACAGUACAGACUAUAAGAUUUAUUACUUCCUUGUAUUACGUUAUUCUGACAAUGGAAAGAUAAGCUUUUGCAUACGUCUGGAAAAGAAUAUCCUUAAAAUCGGAAUGGGCAAGACAUCCUGAAAUUUAGCAUUGUCUUACAUCCUAUAGAAGAAAUACCUUAGUCUGUCACAGUCAGCAUAUUAUGUAAGUAUUCAAUAUCCCUUCAGUCAGCAAUAAUCAUGUUAUAAACCUUAUAAAAGCAUAAAAUACAUAUAAACAAGUUAACUAUUUAAUAUUCUUACAUUCCCCUCUUUGAGCAAUAAAACAAUUGCUCAUCUUAUCGAUAAAAUCUUACCAGGACAGAGAAACUUCCACAUGGUAUUUUCAGGGGUGCUAGUCACUCCCUGCGGGACUUUCAUUAAUUUCUUCACCUCGAUUCCCAUGUGGUAAUUCCUAAGGCCCAGUUUAAAGAUGGGUUGAUACUCUACAGUGGCAGAGAGGAGAAUUUCUAAUUGUUUCUGUUCUGCAUUAUGGAUUCAUUUCUGUACUCUCUUCCUCAAUGUACAAGUAAGAUGGCAGUUAUAUAAAAUCAUACACAAUAAAAUCAGGACUAUAAUAACAAAAGGAUAGAAGAAUGAUUUCAUUAUCUGAGAUCCAGUAGGGGACCAACCAGUAAAGCAUUGUACCAAUCAUGGGCUAAAUCAUUCUGAAUUUGUGAACUCACCUUAAGGAGUUCUCCUUUUAGGAUAUGUGUGGCUACCUGUGUGUGUUAUCUUUGGGAAAAAUAUAGUCCCCUGUGUAUGUGGGUGCCCACCAGGUUAAAUUCUUGGCAAAAAGAUCAUAAACUGGUACUGGUAAUGUGUUAAAUUGACAAGCUAAUUUAACAUCCUUUGAUGAUGUAUGAUAUAAUGUAAAAUAACAUGAGCAUGAAAAAUGUGAAACAUUACCAGUUAACCAUCCAUUGCAUUUACUGGAUUGGGGUUUUAGAAGUAACCAUUCAUUAUCUGUGAGGUUACACAUUCCUCUAAUCUUCUCUAGUUUGGGAAUCAUUAGUGUGUUUUCUAAUGCCAAUCCUUGUUGUAUCCAUAAAUACCUGAUGGCACAAGUACUCCAGUUACUUAGACCUGUAGUGAAUUUCAUAGUUGCAACAGUUAAAUUACCUAAAUAAUUAUACAUUGAUGUAUCUAAAUCCAAUCCUGUAACCUGUGAUUUAACAACAGUUGGAACCCAGUUUGCAGUAGCAUGGAAACCAGUCCCUAUAUGCAUGCUGGCUGUGUUUAACUUAUUCUUGAGGGUCUCCAUAUCUAUAACUAUUUAGUAUACCCAUAGUGGUUCCAGCACCUCCUAACAGUGUGUCAUACCAUUCCCUUUUCUGCCUUUGUUUGUUGUAUUACAUAAUGUUACAACAAGAGUAGUGACUUUUAAUGACACAUGUACAGCUUGUAAGAAGGCAGUUGUAUUAACACAUGUGGAUGGAAUAGGUGUGUGUGUGUCGUGUUUGACUUUUGGUUCUAUGGUAGAGGAUAAAGGACAGUAAUAAGGUGUAAAAAUAUAAGGUAGUGUAUAGUUCUCAAUUGUAGUGUCGUUCAUAAUGACUAACAUUUGUCCCCUUCUCCAAUUAAUGAUACCAGUUAUAUAAUCAUUAUUAAAAGUAAUAAGGCCUGUCUGUUUACAUUGAUAUGCAACCUUAACUGUGCACAUUUCUGCGUUAUAAGAUCUAACAAUUUUCUGUGAACCUUCAAACAAACAUAAUGCAUUGGUUUCAUUAGCUGUGGACACAUUCCAUAUGGGUAACUGGUACUUAUAAGGGUUACUAUUUGUCCAAUUCAUCCAAAUGCGUUCAGUGAAUGAAUGAUUGCAUAUUGCAUGCUGAUAGAAAGGUGGUGGAGAAAGGUUCUUGAGGGGGCGUGUGUGACGAAUGCUAGAUGAGGGGCUAAGGCCUAAUUGGGCUGGGGUAUUGAAGAAUUGUUCAUCAUGUCAGAGUCUUUUUCCAGAACUUGCCAUUGACUUGUACUCAUAAUGGCAUUCAAGGAACAAUAUCAGAGGGAGUAUAACAACUCCAGAAAGCAUAGCGCACAACAUAAUCUUGGUCUCAGGUACGUAUGAUCCUCUCAAUCUACGAUAUGGUGUGAAAACCAUGAUGCUUCGCUGAGGAGAAAUUCUUCUGUUUCCGAGCGAGGAGUGGUGUUGUCUUCCUUGGUUCCCCUCUUUGGACACAGCUUCACUCGGGAUGCGUGAAUCCAGAUGUCGUGGGAAUCUGUGAGGACAGCGGUUCUGGUUACAGCAAUCACAGUAGCAGGUGGUCCAAAAGGGUAUCCUCCUUUCUUGGUCCUGUUCAGCUGACGGAUAUACACCUUGUCACCGGGCUGGUAUGAAUGAGUAGGUUCCUGUGAAGGUAAGGGAAAACUGCGAAGAAACAUUGUCAUACAUACCAUUCGGUUUUAUCAACAAUUCCUGUACAUAUUGUUCUUGUAUUAGCUGUAAAUCCCCAGACAUUAUAACAAGCGGUUCCCUGGCCCAGGGUGUGGGAAAAGGUCAUCCCAUCAAAAAUCUCAGAUGGAGAUAAUUUAGUCACCUUGUGAGGAAUCACUCUUAUCUCAGCUAAAAUAGCUGGUAGAUAUCUAGUCCAAUUUACCCAUGUUCCUGGGUAAAUUCUGGGCUUUUCCUUAAUAGUCCUAUUCAUCCUUUCAACUACCCCUGUAUUCUGUGGAUGAUAGGGUAUAUGAAACUGCCAGGUAACUUGCAAGAAUUUAGCAAGUUCCUGGGCAACCCUACUGGCAAAAACCGGGCCAUUAUCAGAGCCAAUCUGCAGAGGGCAGCCAUACCUGGGAAUAAUUUCAGUAACAAUAAACUUCACUAGCAUCUUCCCUAGAUGUCACAAAGGCCUCAUGCCAUCCACUAAACUGAUUAACUAUGACCAGUAAGUAUUGCUGUUUCUUACCAAUUUUGGAUACAUGAAUAAAAUCAAUCUGUAAGUGUGUAAAAAGAGCAGCGUUCACACGAUCUUACAAAAGACUGUACAUGCUGCCUGAGAUUCCUAAUAUAAAAUGAAUUCAUGAGGAAUUGAAUGGUGCUUGCUAUGUGCCUGACUGAUGAAAAUAAAUCAGCUUGCUUCAAGUAUGCCUAUUCUUCAAGUAUGCCUAUUCUCCCCUCUUUAGAGAACAGAUCAUUCUGAUCUUUCUCUAAACCUUAUUUAAUCCAAAAGACAGAUUCUGGGUAUUAAAAAAAGAAUCUCAUAACCACUGAAGCGCUGGGCUGUCAUGUGUUGUGUGGUGAGAUUUGUCAGCUGAGUGACCUGGUGACUGGCAUGAAGUAUUGUAUGAUGCCCUAGUGUGAUAGUAGUAGCAGUUUCAACAGCCAUUGCACAUGCUAUCAAUGCUCUGAGACACGCCGGCAUACCCUUUACCGGAGCUCGAACUACUUUGGAAAAGAAUGCUAUGGGACGCAUACCGCCUCCUUGCUCUUGUGCACAGACCGCGGCCAUGGUUUUACAAUUGUCCCAAGCAUACAAAUGAAAUGGUUUACAAUACACAGGUAGUCCUAAAGCCUGGGCUUGCACAAUAACAACUGUAAGGGCAAUAUAUGCAGCUAGCAUGUCUGGUGACCAGCAGACAUUUUCAGGGCUGUCAGAACGUACAGCCUCCCUUAGGAUUGAGUCAUAAUGGGAGCAUUCAGGGAUCCAUUGGUGGCAGUAAUUAAUCAUGCCGAGGAAGGUGAGCAACUCCUUCCGAGUAGUGGGUGUUGGAAUCCUCUGAAUGACCUCAAUACAUUUUGGACUCAAUUGUCUGGUGCCUAAAGCCAGAACAAAACCUAAGUAUUCAACCUUUGAUUUACACAAUUGCAUUUUGUGUUUAACAACCUUGUGACCUACAGUUGCUGACAGUAUCCACAGUGCUUGCCUCAUAGCUAGGGCUACAUAACAACAAAUCAUCAACAUUUUGCAAAAAGGACGGAACCAUGACCGGUGGUCCAUGUUUUUUAGAGUAUGUUGGAGUACCAACGAAUAAACAGCUGGGGAAUCCACAUAGCCUUGGGUAAGCGUGUCCAGGUAAACUGACAGCCUUCAAAAAGUAAAAACCAUAAGUAGCUGUGUCUCUUGAUCAAUAGGUAUAGAAAAAAUGCAUUACUUAAAUCAAUGACAGUGAAGCAAGUGGCAUCAUGUGGAAUGGCUGUAAUGAGGGAUGUCACAUCAGGGACAAUGGGUGAAAUGGGCACAAUUAAACUAUUCAGGGCUCUAAAGUCCUGAACUAAGCGAUAUGCUGGCCAGUGGUGUUGGGAGUGGGUCUGGUGUUGUUCUUGCCUACCGGGCAUAUUUUGAGAAUUGUGGGGUUGUUGGGGUGUGUGGGGUUUCCUGGGGUUUCCUGGGGUGUGGACACUCAUUCCUCCAGUGGCCAUAUUGGCCACAGUUGAAACAAGUGUUCCUGUCUAUUCCUCCUUGGUUACCCCUGCCCCUAUAACCCUGAUUUCCCUGUCUCCAUCCCCUUGCCCCUCUUUGACCACCCCUUCCACGGGCUUUAUGUGCUCCAUCCCAUCCUCGCUCUCAGCCUGUGUAGCUGGACAUAAUAUGUUGCAAUCCCUGAGCAUAAUAAGCAACCUUACUUUCCUAAAUCUUUUCUUAAUUCAAAACAACCUGCAUUUUCCUUUUCUAUAACCUUGGUAAGAAAAUCUGAGCUAUCCAAAUUGGCCCAGUCUGAAAUCAAUUGUUUCACAAGCAAAGAAUACUGUGGCAACAUAUUACCAAGGUAUGACUGUAUUUUAAAAAGAUCUAUAUCAUCUCCAGACAUCAAACCUGCCUCAUCCUUCCAAUACUUGUAAAAUUUCUUUACAAAAAUCAUAUUACCAAUCUCUUCCUUUGCAUCUUGCUUAUAUGCCAAAGCAGUGAAAAUAGACUGCUUAUUCUUCCAUAAUCCCAACAUUUCAGCUUCCACCUUGUUCCAGAUUUUAGCACAUCUUACUGAAGUACUAAGCUCAUAAUCACCAAUUCAUUUCAAACCAUAUAACUCAUACUCAGCAUCCAAUGUAAUAUUAGUCAUCUCAUAAAACAAUAUCUUUGUAGAAACACAUAAUGGGUACCCAGCAGAUAUGCCAAUACAGAAAUCACAUUUAUGGGCACACAACUACACACUCUGUCUCCCUCCUAGGAAACACGGAUAGACACAAUAUAAAAGCAAUCUUAAACUAACACCUCCAAAUCUCCAACUAUUCUUGGCCAAAACGCUAGUAUUCAACAACUAAUAAAACAGUUAUUUGCUAGGUUAUUUGGCUGUCAUUCUUAUCAGUAUCACUAGACUGUGACAAACUGAUUCACAUAUAAUUUAAAACAAUACAGCAACAUAUAAAUUAAACCACUUUCAAGUUAAACUGCACACUUAUCACACAUUAUCACAAUCACCAUUUACACAGAAUAAACAGUUAACAGCUGUAUUCAGAACAUAUUAUUGGAAGGUAUACCAAUUUUAGUUUAGAUUUAUUUUAGGGAUUCUUAUGUGUACAUUUUCUUAAUUAACUUCAUUACUUUAAUCUACUAUAGUAUUAUAUUUAAAGAAAGGAUCCAUUUAUAUAGCGCGCUCAUAACUCAACUAUUUGUAUAAAACUACCAUUAACUAAUCUGAGAUGAUGCUGCAUCAACUUAAAUCCUAUAGAAAUUGAACAAACAUCUGGACCAGAUUACACAGACAUGGUUUCACCUGAAUCUUUCAGAACUCUCAGAGACUUAAAAAAAAUUAUACUAUACCAUGUUUUAAAGGCAUGGCAAACCUUUAGACCGGUCAGUCUCCAAGAGCCCUUAGUAACACAGGUAAAAAACCUUUGUCCAUGAUUUCUGAUUCAGGCUAUAUACCACAAUUUAAAAUAACACAUAAUGUGAGACAUAGAAGACACAAGCAGUAGUUAUUACACUGGAUCAUUUAAAAGGAACCUGUUGCAAUAAAAGGUUAGUUUACAGUGCAAAAUAAAGCAUGUGUUGGACCGCUGAAAAUGUAAAUGUUGCUCUGUUAUUUUCAAACAAAAAUUAUAUUUACAGUAUGGAUCCUUUGCAACAAACACACAGGGCAGGGAAGAUGUGCUGAUUGGUGUUUCUAUACAAUUAAUCCCAUACGGGGAAUUAACUUUCAAAUACUAAUGAAGUGACUUUUUGUCUCAGUUAUAAAAUAUACUGAGCUCAUCAUGCAAUCAAUGCAACACAUUUACACUAUCCCACUCUCAUAAUAAGUGUAGUGGGCUUAUAGUAUUUUUAAAGCAACAAUCAUUCCAGGCACACAGUUCCCAUGUGAAAUAACUUACAAUAAAACAGAGUAAUAAACUUAUACUUCUAUGCGACAGAAAGAAUAAAGCAAAAAGAUUUAAGUAGGUCUAUCAGGUACAACCUGUGAGUCAUUUCUUUUCUAAUAUACAGUACUGCUAUCUUGCAGAAAGAUAAGUCCUGCGCUCACUCCCAUCACUACUGGGCAGCAGCAAGGACUACAGUACACAUCAGCCCCAAUAUAUGGUAAAAACCAAAGAAAAACAAGUUACCUGCGUUCUCUCCUUAAUCCCUAUGUAUUUUUAAAACCUCAAUUUGUUUAAAAGUACUGCUAUCUUAUAUAUACACAUAUACAUAUACACACACAUAUAUACAUACAUAUAUUGGUCACUCAGGACAUGAACUCACAUUUCCCAUACUGCUGACUCAGAGUGGGGACACUACUAACUUACCAAAGUGUGUCCCCAAUAUAGACAAACAAUCACCCACAAAAAACACUUAAGACAAACAAAGGUGACCGGGAGAAAGAGAAGUUUGGGUUAUACUUAUAGAUCUACAAACCGUGCUACUCAGAACACCUAUAGACUUAAUAAACCGGAGACCUCUUAUGGUCUCAAAAACCUGUAUCUACCUGAGAUACCCUGUAUCUAUCUUAGAUACUAACCUGGGUUACCAAAACCCUAUAAUAAACCGGAGACCUCUUAUGGUCUCAAAAACCUGUAUCUAUCUUAGAUACUAACCUGGGUUACCAAAACCCUAUAUAUUUAGACCAAAUGUCUAAUAAACCGGAGACCUCUUAUAGUCUCAAUAUAACUAGAGUCCUUACACCUUUCCUAUCUACUGGAUACAGUCUUACUGAACCAAAGGGGGGUCAUAGACAAUCAGCGUCAAAUAAGACACAAAAAGGCUACUCACCGCAAAUGGUUUUGCUGAUCCAACUUCUAUCCCACUUCUGACACCAAGCUGAAAGGGUUAAUGUUGUAAUGGACUCUAAUCCCCUCGGUUCUCGAUCCCUCGUCACCAUAAUCAACGUUGAUGGAGAAUCAUUGUAAGCAAUAACACACGGACAACAGCUUUACAAGACUCUCAAAUGAGUGUAUUCCAGAGCUGGCUUUUAUACAUAGUUUGCUUACAUUAGCCAUGGUAUAUGCAAAUACAGUACAGACUAUAAGAUUUAUUACUACCUUGUAUUACGUUAUUCUGACAAUGGAAAGAUAAGCUUUUGCAUACGUCUGGAAAAGAAUAUCCUUAAAAUCGGAAUGGGCAAGACAUCCUGAAAUUUAGCAUUGUCUUACAUCCUAUAGAAGAAAUACCUUAGUCUGUCACAGUCAGCAUAUUAUGUAAGUAUUCAAUAUCCCUUCAGUCAGCAAUAAUCAUGUUAUAAACCUUAUAAAAGCAUAAAAUACAUAUAAACAAGUUAACUAUUUAAUAUUCUUACAGAUAGGACAAGGGGAGUGUGACAGGAUUGAAGGGUUAAUAUGACAGGUUGAGUGUGACAAGGUGAAGGGUGGUGAGUGUGAAAGUGGUGGAGUAUGAGUGUGAUAGGAUUAGGAGGGAUGGAUGCGGUGAAGGGGGUGACUUUGUGUAUUGGGGUGAGGGAGGGUGACAGUGUUUUGGGGGUGUGUGGGUGGCAGUGAGUGGGAGAAGGUGAGGGUGGCAGGGAGCUGGGGGAGGUGAGGGUGGCAGUGAGUGGGGGAGGUGAGGGUGGCAGUCAGUGGGAGGUGUAGGUGACAGUAGUGGGGAGGUAUGAGGGUGGCAGUGAGAGUAGGGAAGGUGAGUGUGGCAAUGAGUGGGGGGAAAGUGAUGUAAGCAGUGAGUUGUGGGAGAUGGUGGUGGCAGUGGUGGAGGUGAGUGUGGCAAUGAGUGAGGGGAGGUGUGGGUGGCAGUGAGUGGGGGGAGGUGAGGGUGGCAGUGAGUGGGGGGAGGUAAGGGGGACAGUGAGGGUGACAGUGAGUGGGGGGAAGUUAGAGUGAAAGUGUGGCCAGCCAUUACAUUACCUGUUUUGUGUAGUCCCACUCUCUGGUGAUCCAGUGGUCUCCUCUUCUUCCCUGUACCCUGGUGGUCCGGUGGCAGAGCUGCAGUCACACCAUGUGGAAAUUGUCUCGCGAUCUCUGGCACUUGAAGUCUCAGAGGGUGAGAGAUGGAGUGAGGGCAGGUUCACGAGGGCUGGAUGGGGAGUGAGUGGGGUUAAUGAGGGCUGGAUGGGGGUGAGAGGGAAUGAGACGUAUGGAGGGUGGGGAAAUGAGACACAUGAAGAAGCUGAGGGGGAGAGAAUGAGACUCAUGCAGGUGCUCGGGGGAGGGACGAAGACACAUGAAGAGGCUGGGGGGAGGGAAUAAGACAUAUGGGGGGUGGGACAUAGGGAGGAACUGGAGGGAAAUGAGACACAUGGAGGAGCGGGGGAGGGUAAUGAAACAUGUGGGGGGACCUGGGACAAUUUUUGCACCGGGGGGCAAGUGGUUUCUAGUUACGCCUCUGUUCUGAAGCAAUAGGAAUCAUAUGUGUGUUUUUAUUUGAUUGGUUUAACUACAGAAAGAAAGGCUUUGUCGCAUUCAUUGUUUAUUUAACUGGAGUCUUAGGGGUAUGUUUUUAAUUUUAUGGACAAAGACUAUAUAUCUCCCUUCCUGAAUCCAGCAAAUAACAAAUGCUCUUGAAUAUCCAUCAUAUCCAUCCAUAAACCUACAGAAAAUGUAAGUCUGAUGCAUACUGAUGUCUGUACCUGGCACACAGGACAAUUAACCUAUAAAUGCUUAUUAACAUCAUGGUGAGCCACCAAACAUGAAGAAGAAAUAAGAGAAAUAUGUAUUAUAAAAAUGUAAAAAUGUAAAUGUAAAGCUAAACUGAUGCCAUAGAUAUUUUUCCAGUGUUAACUCCUGCUCUUGGUCACUAAUGCAGAGGCCAGCAAAUGACAUAAGCAAUAAAGAUACAUGCACCUUGUAGUAAUAGAUCUUCUUUCUACCACAUUUCUGUCAUGCUGUUCCUUGACAAGAGUUAAUCUGAAUUGUUUUUAAAUUUUUAUGCUAAAUAUUUCAAAAAAAUUAGAAAGUAAUUUUGCGAUUGUGAAAUCACUGUAAUUUGAUACAAUAAUGCCGUUCUAUCUGCACUUUUAGACUACUUUAUCCCUGAUGAUUUAGUAUUUGAUGACAACCUUACAAAAUAUGGCCACCAUUUGCCAAGUCUUGCAACUUUACGAAGUAGGUUGAAAAUUAUCUCUGUUGAAGAUCCACUUACAAAUUGGCAAAAAACCCUUCCUAACCUUCCUACAGUUGAACGACUUCUCAGGUAUGAGAUAUGUGUGUUUCUUGAAUGUAGAAAGUAAUCUGGGCAUUCCAAAAUGUUCCAAAAGAUAGGCAAUUUUAUUGGACCCAAGAAACAAAAAACAACUGAGGGCCUUUGUCAAGCCUGUGUGUGUUUCUGUCAUGUCUUCAUGUCUUUUACUUUUAUUUCACGAUAUAGUGCACACCACACCACAAUAUAUAUAUGAAUAUAUAUUUAUACUUUUAUAUUUGAUACACAAAUAGUAUGUACCUAAUUUUAGUGGAACUCACUCUAGACACAGGGCAGGGUUGGGUAACACAUAUAUGUCUUGUAGGCUAAGAUUUGUCAAAAUGUAUGUGACUGUAUAUGACAGAUGGUUUGUCUAUGGAAGAAAGUUCACUUGGAAAGAAAAAUCAAAUAGUGUUCUUAGACCAAAAAUAUUUUACUAAUCAGAAUGGUAUUACAAGGAAAAUUUGACUUGUAGAGCCAGUUUAAAUGAGACAUUGUAAUUGACUUGAAAAGCCAGUUUAAACCUGACAUAAUACUUACAUGACAAGCACAACAUUCUCUGUAUAGAGAUCCUGCUUGAGUAUAAGGUUUUAAAAAUCCAUAACAGCUGAUCACCCUCAGUCUCUUGUACAAAGAGAUGUAACAUACCCGAUACAGACUGUAUCUUGCUUGGUAACUCGUGACGUCUCAGUUCAUGUGGGAUGGGAGAGACUGGAUAAGGAAUACAUGAGAGGUAUAGGUGUGUCAGCAGUACAAGUAAUACUGUUAUUACAGUAUUGAGCACAUGACUGAAUGAGCAUAACAGAACUGCAAACUAACUUUAAAGGGUUACUUUAACCCUUUUGAGAGGGGGUACCGUACGGUGUAAAAUGUCCUAUUGGGCACUGUGGAGAAGGUCCCCACUCUCAAUUUGCAGUAAAACCUAACAAAAUGGUAAUUCAGUGUCUGGCCAGGCUCCCGGUGCUGCUCUUCAGUGCCCUCCACCGAUGUCACUGGGGCAGCCCGCGGCUCAUUCACUGGCUUCUCUAUGAGAAACCUGUGUGUGAAGAAAUCNNNNNNNNNNNNNNNNNNNNNNNNNNNNNNNNNNNNNNNNNNNNNNNNNNNNNNNNNNNNNNNNNNNNNNNNNNNNNNNNNNNNNNNNNNNNNNNNNNNNCUGAAUCCACUCCUCCUCCAGCCCAAGCUUACUGUAAGUGAGAGAGAGUGUGCUGUGUGUAACUGUGAUUGUCACUGUCUUCGAUUGUGUGUGUGAGUGUGUAACUGUGAUUUUAUUAAAGGACACGGAGGCUCUUAUUAGGCUUUAUCUCUUUCUUUAUUCCUCAGCAGCAAAGAAAGGAUAUUGAUAUUUUUUAAUAUAGCAAUAACAAAAAGAAAAACAAAUACCCUUAAGGGUUAACCAUAUAACAUUCCAUAUCCAUUAACCAAUAGGAUCAGUCCUUGUACUAUAUCCCUUCAUGUGAGGUAAACUACUUCCUCUUUCUUUGCUGCUGCCUCAGCUAAGUACCACAUAUUUUUCAGCUCCUCAAAUAUUGUGUUGUUCAGUUUCUCCUGAUUCAUAUUAUUAUUUUUUAUUUUUUAUACUGUUCCUUUUUUUUUAUAUAUAUCUGCUGUUUUGUUUGUCUAUUAUUUAAUUUUUUUUGUGUAUUUUACUGAUGUUUUGUUUUACUCCUGUUCCCAGUGCAGGGUGCUUGCCUCCUCCCUGAGGCAAACCCCAUCCUGCACUGCCGUUUUCGGGUUGUUUAUAACCCGUCCCUCCUUCCACUUCCCCGGGUGGGGGUCGCUCAGGCAUCCCCUCCCCACCCCCCCGGCCCAGAACGAGCCGUUUCGCCGCCGGACGGGCGGCUGUUACUUUGGCGGCCGUUUCCGCCGCUCGCGCAUGCGCGGUCCACACUCGCGCAUCGCGGCGGCCAUCUUAACUGAGGGCAAUUUUUGCCGCUCUUUUCGCCCGCGGUCCGCGCCACUCUGACAGGGAGGGGCGCAAGCUGAUUGGGUGAGGGAAGUGUUGGGCAGCUUACCAGUGUCCCCCAGGAGUCAUUCCUGAGGGAACACUCGGUAAGCUGCCAUAUUAUAUGUGCCAAAAUACUUGUGCCUUGUAUAACUGUGCCUGCCUUUACUUUUAGUCUAGUGCUCAGCCACUUGCCCUAUACUGCUGGUAUAUUAACCUCUGCAGUGCUGCCAGUGUGCAUUUUGUCCAAUAGUGACAGUUUUAUUUCAGUGCCUUUCUCCCUCUAUUGUUACUGUGCACAUUCCUGAUCACUAUGCAAUCCCCUGCUGAUAAACAGACAGUUACCCCCCCUCCCACCUCUACUAAACCCAGCAAACGUGAUAAGACAGCCCUGUCUACAGACGCUGCUGUCACUGGGGGAGUUGGGGACGCAUCCCAGGAGCACGUGAACUCAGAGGAGUUCCAGGUGCUCCUGGAUGCCACGAUGAGUAGGUCUGUUACACAGGCCAUUUUUACCGCCAUGGGGGCGAUGUCGGACACCCUGUCCCACUCUAUCUCCUCUGCUAUUAGGGCAUCCAGUCACAACCCGGGCUCGGCACCCCCUAUAUCCACUGAUAGCAAGCCAAUGGUCCCUAGCGGCCGCAAGGCUACAUGCAAAUCGCACCAUCUGUCAGGUGCUACCUCCAGAACCAGUAAGACGGACAGGUUGCGCCCUGUUGAGAUUGAUGACGUGGUGCUCCCACGUAAAAGAGCCCCCCGCCGGGCAAAAACGGUGCGGACUUGGAAGAGGGCAAAAGCCCUAUCUGAUCCGUCCGACUCCGAUUCGGACUCAGAGGAGGUAUCAGAUGGGUCCGAUGACAUCGACCCAAUUAAUUCAGACAAUUCGUCCCCCGAACGCAACGACACUGCGCCUCCAGCGUUAGACGCGGAGCGCGAGACGGAUGAGUCCGCAGUGUUAGACCCCCAAGGGGAACCCCUUUUUGAUCCCGACACCUUGCAUAAUCCGCGUUCAGCGGAGUGGUACCCCACAACUCAUGUGGCCAUUUAUAUUGCGACUAGGGUCAGAAAACCCCUCGACAAGGCCACAAGAAGCAAACUGAGGGCGGAAUGCCCAAGGCCCACUGUCCCAGACAUGGCCUGCGUGACCCCUGAAGUGGAUCCCAAGGUCGCCCAGUUCCUGGGUAAGUCAGGAUGGAGGGCCAAGAAGGGUUUGGACUACUCCUUAAAACACUGCCAGGACAAGAUCCUGGACAUACUCGGGCCUAUAGCUAAAAUCUUCGAUAUGGUCGAAGCGGCCCUUACUGGGGGGACCCCAAUUGACUUGAUGGCCAUCAGAGGCUGGAUUCAGAGAGGCAUAUGCCUAAUAGGAAAUGCCAACACCGCUUUGGCCACGGAACGGCGUAAAGCCAUAUUGAUGAAAAUCGAGCCAAAACUAGUGCAUUUGGCAAUCUCCGAGCCUGGCACACAGGCAAAAGGUCUCUUAUUCGGAGACAAUUUUGUUAAGACCCUGGGUAAUUACGUAAACACAUUUACGGCACUAGAUAAGGCACAACAUAAUAUGAAGCGAGUGUUCUCGCAAAAGGUUUUCGGGGGGGCUGGUAGACAGCGGGGCCGUCUGUCCGGCCGCCCCUCCCGGACUCAGUUCCGGGGCUAUCGAGGCUCCGCCACAACACGGUUCCACCCACCCGAACCGAGGGCACAAUCACCAUUCUUCCCGACUGAAAGGGUUAAUGUUGUAAUGGACUCUAAUCCCCUCGGUUCUCGAUCCCUCGGUCACCAUAAUCAACGUUGAUGGAGAAUCAUUUGUAAGCAAUAACACACGGACAACAGCUUUACAAGACUCUCAAAUGAGUGUAUUCCAGAGCUGGCUUUUAUACAUAGUUUGCUUACAUUAGCCAUGGUAUAUGCAAAUACAGUACAGACUAUAAGAUUUAUUACUUCCUUAUAUUACGUUAUUCUGACAAUGGAAAGAUAAGCUUUUGCAUACGUCUGAAAAAUAAUAUCCUGAAAUCGGAAUGGGCAAGACAUCCUGAAAUUUAGCAUUGUCUUACAUCCUAUAGAAGAAAUACCUUAGUCUGUCACAGUCAGCAUUAUGUCGUAUAUUGAGUUUAAGUAUUCAAUAUUCCUUCAGUCAGCAAUAAUCAUGUUAUAAACCUUAUAAAAGCAUAAAAUACAUAUAAACAAGUUAACUAUUUAAUAUUCUUACAUUCCCCUCUUUGAGCAAUAAAACAAUUGCUCAUCUUAUCGAUAAAAUCUUACCAGGACAGAGAAACUUCCACAUGGUAUUUUCAGGGGUGCUAGUCACUCCCUGCAGGACUUUCAUUAAUUUCUUCACCUCGAUUCCCAUGUGGUAAUUCCUAAGGCCUAGUUUAAAAAUGGGUUGAUACCCUCCAGUGGCAGAGAGGAGAAUUUCUAAUUGUUUCUGUUCUGCAUUAUGGAUUCAUUUCUGUACUCUCUUCCUCAAUGUACAAGUAAGGUGACAGUUAUAUAAAAUCAUACACAAUAAAAUCAGGACUAUAAUAACAAAAGGAUAGAAGAAUGAUUUCAUUAUCUGGGAUCCAGUAGGGGACCAACCAGUAAAGCAUCGUACCAAUGAUGGGCUAAAUCAUUCUGAAUUUGUGAACUCACCUUAAGGAGUUCUCCUUUUAGGAUAUGUGUGGCUACCUGUGUGUGUUAUCUUUGGGGAAAAUAUAGUCCCCUGUGUAUGUGGGUGCCCACCAGGUUAAAUUCUUGGCAAAAAGAUCAUAAACUGGUACUGGCAAUGUGUUAAAUUGACAAGCUAAUUUAAUAUCCUUUGAUGAUGUAUGAUAUAAUGUAAAAUAGCAAGAGCAUGAAAAAUGUGAAACAUUACCAGUUAACCAUCCAUUGCAUUUACUGGAUUGGGGUUUUAGAAGUAACCAUUCAUUAUCUGUGAGGUUACACAUUCCUCUAAUCUUCUCUAGUUUAGAAAUCAUUAGUGUGUUUUCUAAUGCCAAUCCUUGUUGUUGUAUCCAUAAAUACCUGAUGGCACAAGUACUCCAGUUACUUAGACCUGUAGUGAAUUUCAUAGUUGCAACAGUUAAAUUAUCUAAAUAAUUAUACAUUGAUUUAUCUAAAUCCAAUCCUAUAACCUGUGAUUUAACAACAAUUGGAGCCCAGUUUGCAGUAGCAUGGAAACCAGUCCCUAUAUGCAUGCUGGCUGUGUUUAACUUAUUCUUGAGGGUCUCCAUAUCUAUAACUAUUUAGUAUACCCAUAGUGGUUCCAGCACCUCCUAACAGUGUGUCAUACCAUUCCCUUUUCUGCCUUUGUUUGUUGUAUUACAUAAUGUUACAACAAGAGUAGUGACUUUUAAUGACACAUGUACAGCUUGUAAGAAGGCAGUUGUAUUAAUACAUGUGGACGGAAUAGGUGUGUGUGUGUCGUUGUUGACUUUUGGUUCUAUGGUAGAGGAUAAAGGACAGUAAUAAGGUGUAAAAAUAUAAGGUAGUGUAUAGUUCUCAAUUGUAGUGUCGUUCAUAAUGACUAACAUUUGUCCCCUUCUCCAAUUAAUGAUACCAGUUAUAUAAUCAUUAUUAAAAGUAAUAAGGCCUGUCUGUUUACAUUGAUAUGCAACCUUAACUGUGCACAUUUCUGCGUUAUAAGAUCUAACAAUUUUCUGUGAACCUUCAAACAAACAUAAUGCAUCGGUUUCAUUAGCUGUGGACACAUUCCAUAUGGGUAACUGGUACUUAUAAGGGUUACUAUUUGUCCAAUUCAUCCAAAUGCGUUCAGUCAAUGAAUGAUUGCAUAUUACAUGCUGAUAGAAAGGUGGUGGAGAAAGGUUCUUGAGGGGGUGUGUGUGACGAAUGCUAGAUGAGGAGCUAAGGCCUAAUUGGGCUGGGGGUAUUGAAGAAUUGUUCAUCAUGUCAGAGUCUUUUUCCAGAACUUGCCAUUGACUUGUACUCAUAAUGGCAUUCAAGGAACAAUAUCAGAGGGAGUAUAACAACUCCAGAAAGCAUAGCACACAACAUAAUCUUGGUCUCAGGUACGUAUGAUCCUCUCAAUCUACGAUAUGGUGUAAAAGCCAUGAUGCUUCGCUGAGGAGAAAUUCUUCUGUUUCCGAGCGAGGAGUGGUGUUGUCUUCCUUGGUUCCCCUCUUUGGACACAGCUUCACUCGGGAUGCGUGAAUCCAGAUGUCGUGGGAAUCUGUGAGGACAGCGGUUCUGGGUACAGCAAUCACAGUAGCAGGUGGUCCAAAAGGGUAUCCUCCUUUCUUGGUCCUGUUCAGCUGACGGAUAUACACCUUGUCACCGGGCUGGUAUGAAUGAGUAGGUUCCUGUGAAGGUAAGGGAAAACUGCGAAGAAACAUUGUCAUACAUACCAUUCGGUUUUAUCAACAAUUCCUGUACAUAUUGUUCUUGUAUUAGCUGUAAAUCCCCAGACAUUAUAACAAGCGGUUCCCUGGCCCAGGGUGUGGGAAAAGGUCAUCCCAUCAAAAAUCUCAGAUGGAGAUAAUUUAGUCACCUUGUGAGGAAUCACUCUUAUCUCAGCUAAAAUAGCUGGUAGAUAUCUAGUCCAAUUUACCCAUGUUCCUGGGUAAAUUCUGGGCUUUUCCUUAAUAGUCCUAUUCAUCCUUUCAACUACCCCUGUAUUCUGUGGAUGAUAGGGUAUAUGAAACUGCCAGGUAACUUGCAAGAAUUUAGCAAGUUCCUGGGCAACCCUACUGGCAAAAACCGGGCCAUUAUCAGAGCCAAUCUGCAGAGGGCAGCCAUACCUGGGAAUAAUUUCAGUAACAAUAAACUUCACUAGCAUCUUCCCUAGAUGUCACAAAGGCCUCAUGCCAUCUACUAAACUGAUUAACUAUGACCAGUAAGUAUUGCUGUUUCUUACCAAUUUUGGAUACAUGAAUAAAAUCAAUCUGUAAGUGUGUAAAAAGAGCAGCGUUCACACGAUCUUACAAAAGACUGUACAUGCUGCCUGAGAUUCCUAAUAUAAAAUGAAUUCAUGAGGAAUUGAAUGGUGCUUGCUAUGUGCCUGACUGAUGAAAAUAAAUCAGCUUGCUUCAAGUAUGCCUAUUCUUCAAGUAUGCCUAUUCUCCCCUCUUUAGAGAACAGAUCAUUCUGAUCUUUCUCUAAACCUUAUUUAAUCCAAAAACAGAUUCUGGGUAUUAAAAAAAGAAUCUCAUAACCACUGAAGCGCUGGGCUGUCAUGUGUUGUGUGGUGAGAUUUGUCAGCUGAGUGACCUGGUGACUGGCAUGAAGUAUUGUAUGAUGCCCUAGUGUGAUAGUAGUAGCAGUUUCAACAGCCAUUGCACAUGCUAUCAAUGCUCUGAGACACGCCGGCAUACCCUUUACCGGAGCUCGAACUACUUUGGAAAAGAAUGCUAUGGGACACAUACCGCCUCCUUGCUCUUGUGCACAGACCGCGGCCAUGGUUUUACAAUUGUCCCAAGCAUACAAAUGAAAUGGUUUACAAUACACAGGUAGUCCUAAAGCCUGGGCUUGCACAAUAACAACUGUAAGGGCAAUAUAUGCAGCUAGCAUGUCUGGUGACCAGCAGACAUUUUCAGGGCUGUCAGAACGUACAGCCUCCCUUAGGAUUGAGUCAUAAUGGGAGCAUUCAGGGAUCCAUUGGUGGCAGUAAUUAAUCAUGCCGAGGAAGGUGAGCAACUCCUUCCGAGUAGUGGGUGUUGGAAUCCUCUGAAUGACCUCAAUACAUUUUGGACUCAAUUGUCUGGUGCCUAAAGCCAGAACAAAACCUAAGUAUUCAACCUUUGAUUUACACAAUUGCAUUUUGUGUUUAACAACCUUGUGACCUACAGUUGCUGACAGUAUCCACAGUGCUUGCCUCAUAGCUAGGGCUACAUAACAACAAAUCAUCAACAUUUUGCAAAAAGGACGGAACCAUGACCGGUGGUCCAUGUUGUUUAGAGUAUGUUGGAGUACCAACGAAUAAACAGCUGGGGAAUCCACAUAGCCUUGGGUAAGCGUGUCCAGGUAAACUGACAGCCUUCAAAAAAUAAAAACCAUAAGUAGCUGUGUCUCUUGAUCAAUAGGUAUAGAAAAAAUGCAUUACUUAAAUCAAUGACAGUGAAGCAAGUGGCAUCAUGUGGAAUGGCUGUAAUGAGGGAUGUCACAUCAGGGACAAUGGGUGAAAUGGGCACAAUUAAACUAUUCAGGGCUCUAAAGUCCUGAACUAAGCGAUAUGCUGGCCAGUGGUGUUGGGAGUGGGUCUGGUGUUGUUCUUGCCUACCGGGCAUAUUUUGAGAAUGGUGGGGUUGUUGGGGUGUGUGGGGUUUCCUGGGGUGUGGACACUCAUUCCUCCAGUGGCCAUAUUGGCCACAGUUGAAACAAGUGUUCCUGUCUAUUCCUCCUUGGUUACCCCUGCCCCUAUAACCCUGAUUUCCCUGUCUCCAUCCCCUUGCCCCUCUUUGACCACCCCUUCCACGGGCUUUAUGUGCUCCAUCCCAUCCUCGCUCUCAGCCUGUGUAGCUGGACAUAAUAUGUUGCAAUCCCUGAGCAUAAUAAGCAACCUUACUUUCCUAAAUCUUUUCUUAAUUCAAAACAACCUGCAUUUUCCUUUUCUAUAACCUUGGUAAGAAAAUCUGAGCUAUCCAAAUUGGCCCAGUCUGAAAUCAAUUGUUUCACAAGCAAAGAAUACUGUGGCAACAUAUUACCAAGGUAUGACUGUAUUUUAAAAAGAUCUAUAUCAUCUCCAGACAUCAAACCUGCCUCAUCCUUCCAAUACUUGUAAAAUUUCUUUACAAAAAUCAUAUUACCAAUCUCUUCCUUUGCAUCUUGCUUAUAUGCCAAAGCAGUGAAAAUAGACUGCUUAUUCUUCCAUAAUCCCAACAUUUCAGCUUCCACCUUGUUCCAGAUUUUAGCACAUCUUACUGAAGUACUAAGCUCAUAAUCACCAAUUCAUUUCAAACCAUAUAACUCAUACUCAGCAUCCAAUGUAAUAUUAGUCAUCUCAUAAAACAAUAUCUUUGUAGAAACACAUAAUGGGUACCCAGCAGAUAUGCCAAUACAGAAAUCACAUUUAUGGGCACACAACUACACACUCUGUCUCCCUCCUAGGAAACACGGAUAGACACAAUAUAAAAGCAAUCUUAAACUAACACCUCCAAAUCUCC